AGAGAGCUCUUUGCUGAUGCCUGGAGCAUUAAAAUCACAGCUGUCUCCCCAGUGUAGGACCUCUAAAGAAAGCUUACAGCAAAGUCCUCAGCAACUCAUCACAUAAGAGGGAGAUCAGGGGAGGAAGCACUGCUGAACAUGAGGCUCUAUGAAUUGUAUAAGUAUCUGAAAGGUGCUUACAGCCAGAGUGGGGCUGGUCUCUUCUCACUGGUGACAGGUGACAGGAUGAGGGGAAAUGACCUCACAUUGCUCCAGGCUCUUCUAUUGGAGGAGACAGUGAAGCUUCAGUCUAUGUCUGCCCUUUUGGAAACUCUCUGGAUAUUUGGAAACUUCAGUUCUAUUGCACAGUGGGACACCUCCUUGCUGGCAGAAGAGUCUAAGCUGUCCUUUUGGAGGAAAGUGCUUCUGUACCUUGAAAUAUCCUUACUGCCUUUCUCUGAGCCCUUAGUGGUGCUAUCACAUUUUUUUGUAUGUUUGUUUAUUUUCAGGCAAGGGAACCACACAUAUCCAGGUGUGGGUGUGGUCCAGAAUGACAUUUUCUGUUUUGUUCUCUGUUCCUUUUCUUACGGUUCUGUCACUGCUUUCCUCUUGCUGUUUGAGCUGCUUUCAGUGCUGAGCUUGUGCUUUUGUGAACUGUUGAUCACAGCCCCAGUUCUUACUGACCUUUACUGGCUUACUACAGGUUUUGUUUUGUCUGAAAUAACCUCUCAUUCCCUAUAUGUGAAAGCUCUGUACAUCAUUCACAAGUUUUGUGAAUCUGUAUAUGCUUCUACUACUCCAAGUUCCUGUCUUUACUCUUGCAUAGCUAUAUGGCAACACCUGUAACCUUGUGUUUGUUGUGUUAGCUUUCUUCCCACAACUUCUGAGACUAAACAAGUAUGUAUGUCAUGUUCUCGUGAGAUAUAACACGGGACAUUUUAAAGUGUAGAUAUACGUGGGUGCAUGGCCACCUGAAUAAAUAGGGAGGAAAGGAUGUGGGGGGACUCUGGGCCCUGAAGAUAGGCGAAGGGUGAGCUGUCAUGCAAGAAGGAGCAGUCUGGAGGUGGGGAUAUCGUCCACUACAUCUGCACAGCACCACGGCUUUCUGCUUCUCUCUCACAAAGAAACUGAAAAAGUCCCAAGUCAUAAAUUAUUUUAUGCUGAGAGAAGAUUCUGGAAAAUUAUCAGUUUGUAGCUAGCUUGUUCUUAUAUUCUUCCCUAGCUAUCUAUUUUUUUAACCCCAUUGGAGUCAGGAGGUCUUUCAUUUUUCUGUUUAUGUUCUCUGGCUGCAAUGCAGCAGUGUGUAUCCUCAGUAAACCAUCUCUUUUUUGCUGUCACUGUAAUGGGGGAGAGAGGGAAGGAGGAGAGGAAGAUAUACGUACUUUCUUGCCAGCUUUCUGCUCUGGCUGUCUCAUAUCUGGCUGAUUGUACUGUAAGAGCAGCUUUUUCAUGGUCUGUCACUUGUGCUUUGGUUCUAACUAUAAAUAGGGAAUGCAUUGGUAUCCAUUAAUGUGCUUCUUUUCUAAGUGACUUUCAAGCUUCAGAAAAGACCAGAGUUUUGUUUGAAAGUUUGAGUCCUCCUGCUUAUCCCAAAUUUUCUGUGUGUUAUAAAUACUUUGUCAACCCCUUGUCAAGUGCAACUGCUCUGUGAGACCCUUUUGACUGUUACUGCAUGCCCAUAUAUAUGGUAGCUAUCUCCUUUGUCCUUGCACUGUCUGUUGCAUCCACAUAAUUCGAGAAAGGGUAUAUUUUAGCAGUGGGCAACAUAAGAAAUUUUUUUACAAACAUUGCAGAGAAAUUGUAACUCAACUACCCUCAGAUCGUUUUUUUCCCUCUCUCUUUAUAAUGCAAUAAAACAUCUUUUUUUUAUUUAGCUGGGGUAGCAUUGGAUUUAGGUAGGAAAUCUUGUGGAUUUCUUUGGUGCUUUUGUGAGAUUAGAAAUAAAAUAAAGUAAGUGAAACAAAUUUCACAAAAUACAAAUUGAUAUACUGUAGGUAUGAAAUACAGAGAUAACUGCUCCAGAUUUUAAGCCAAUCACUCUAAAGACUUGCAAAAUGCAUCUAUCUGAAAACAGGUAAUUUGCAUUGAGUUCCAGUUCAACGUAUUAGAGUGAAACCACAUCCACUGCUAAACUGUAAAUGACUGAAUCAAAUCCUCCUGUGAUUCUCAGUGUUUAUGGCCAUAGGCUUCUUGGAUAAUUAUAUACACAUAGUUUGGUGGUUUGUUUGUUUGUUUUCCAAAAUGCAGAGGAAUAACAUCACAUUUAACACUUAAAUUUGGAGACAUUCCCAUAGACUUGGUGUAACUGUUGUAGCAACUGUCAGCAAUUACUGGAAAUGGGACUAGCAUCUUCAGAAGUAAUCAGUUUCAAUUUUGUCUGUCUACACACCUUGCAAUAAAACCAUGAAUC
ensembl:lncRNA